rnacentral:snRNA from 1 species
AAAAGAAUAAAAGGAAAACUAGA